AGGAUUAACGCUGGCGGCGUGCCUAACACAUGCAAGUCGAACGAGGUAGCAAUACCUAGUGGCAGACGGGUGAGUAACGCGUGGUCAACCUACCGUUGAGUGGGGGAUAACUAGCCGAAAGGUUAGCUAAUACCGCAUACGAGUCUCGGGGGCAUCCCUGAGCCUUAAAAGGAGCAAUCCGCUCGAUGACGGGACCGCGUCCCAUUAGCUAGAUGGUGGGGUAACGGCCUACCAUGGCACCGAUGGGUAGCUGGUUUGAGAGAGCGACCAGCCACACUGGGACUGAGAAACGGCCCAGACUCCUACGGGAGGCAGCAGUGAGGAAUUUUCCGCAAUGGGCGAAAGCCUGACGGAGCGACGCCGCGUGUGGGAAGAAGGCCUUCGGGUCGUAAACCACUGUCGAAGGGGACGAUAAUGACGGUACCUUGGAGGAACGCCCGGCUAACUACGCGCCAGCAGCCGC
rnacentral:rRNA from 1 species